AGCAGUUUCUUAUAAAGGAGUUUCAUCAAAGCUGACAAAGUGAUCGAGGAUGAAUAACUUCGACGAACUUGAGGAAUCCGUGAUAUCUUCUUAAGGG